ensembl:miRNA
CUCAGCCCGGGGUAUAUAGUGAGACCUCGUCUCUACAAAAAAUUGAGACAGGGCCUCACUCUGUCGCCCAGGCUGGA